rnacentral:lncRNA from 1 species
AACAUACUCCCUCCAUCUGUCGGCCUUGGAUGGCUGGGGCCCCAGGUUGUUCUCAAACAUGGGCACUGGAAGAUUGACUCGGCGUCGUGGAGGAGGCGCGCUGGGCUUCUCCCCACGGCGGAGGAAGGCCUCCACCAGCUCCUGAUCAUCCUCACUCUCCACAUCGCUGCCCAGGAAUUUGCUGCCCAAGUAACUGACCGGCAUUUUGCGCACCUUCCUGGUCCUCCCGGAGGAGCUCCUGUUGCCUUUGACUUUGGAGGUAUCGAAGUCACUCAACUCACUGUCGCUGCCAUUGCUGCUGUCAUAGGUACCUACAACCAGCCGAAGUGGAGGAGUGACCAUCUGCGGGACUCUCCUCACUCUCAGCUCCUUGGUUCUUUUGCGGGGUUGGGGUGGGUGUGGAGUGCUCUUUUCGAUGAUACGGGCCACAUCUUCCAGGGUGCGGCCCUCCUCCUGCAAAAACUGGAUUAGCCGCUCCCGAAACUCAGCUUCCUUCGUUGCAGGCUUGGAGAUGACUCUCCACACGCCCCCAGCCAGGCGGACCUCCCGGGGGAUGAGCAGAUAGUCAACAUCCUCCCCAAUCUGCAGCAUCCCCACCGUGGAGUCCUCUUCUUUGCGGAACACCUUUCCGAUUUUCUUAAAGGUGCCCACAGGCCUUAAGGCCUCCACUAACACGUCCAGAUCGACAUCUUUGCAGACGUCGGGGACACUCCAGAGGAUCAGGCAAUCGGGAGACGGAAGGAAGCCCCAGGGGAACCAUCCCCCUACGUGGCUUUUUUCGAGAGUCUUUAAGAUCUCCAGCGUGGACGCUCGAGUGGGGGCAAAAAGCCCAGACACUUGGCUGCUAGUCUUGGGGAGGGGGCGGUGGACAGUCCUAGCAACUCUGCUCGCACAGAGUGUCUCCUCCCUACAAUUUUCUCUUCAGGAAACAAGUCCAAGUUGGCUUCCCCAACCCCCUCGGAGUUGUAGCAAGCAGUUUUCCAGGAUGCUUACAUGAACUGAAGCACGCUCAUUCCCGAGGCUCAAAGUUCAGUCCAAACUGGAAUCGCCAGUGUCCCGGCUCCAAGUUGGGGUCCCACGAGCUCCGAUCGCUUCUCCCUUGCCCCAGACACCAGGAUAUAGCUGAAAGUUCUUGGGAGGACUCUGCAGACAAAGACGGCUCAGCGUGGCCUUUCAAUAUGGCGAGGUGCUUAAAGGCCUCCGCCCAGCCCCGAGGAGGGUCUCCCGCCCCCAGGCAGUCUGCCACCCGCUCCAAACUGACCUUGCGCUCAGUCUGUGGUGGAGCUGAGAGCCGCAGGAAGUUUCUGGGCGCCCUCCCCUCCUGGGUGAGGCCCACCUUCUCCUUCUCAUCUUACACUCUAAGCCUGGGAAGACUGGCAGCGGGGCUGUCCACUCCCCUUCAGGGCAGCCUCCCUCUCCUCCCCCACAGAGGUGUGGCUGCCCCCCAGAGCCUCAAUGGGGCCAGGGCUUCCCUUAGCUGCAGCCAAAACCCACGUCAUCAUCCUUCCCAAAAGGCAACGGGUCCCCCAACCUGCCAUCCUAGACGUGCAAGCCCAAAAGGUGCGAGUGCUGAUGGCUCAAAUCCUUUGAAGGCUAUUGCAAUUAUGAACGUGCGUUUAAAAUUAAGGGGAUGGGACUAGAGGUGGCUCAAUGGUUAGGAGCAUGGGCUACCUUUAUGUAAGACCUGGGUUUGACUCCCAGAACCAAUACGAUGGCUCAAAACCCUGUUUAUUUCCAGUUCCAGGGGAUCCAAUACCCUCUUCUGAUCUCUGUGAGCACUGCAUAUACGUGGUACACACACACACACACACACACACACACACACACACACACACACACACACAGAGAGAGAGAGAGAGAAGACAUUCAUGCACACAAAAAGGGGCACACAAGAUAACCCAAUGGGUAAAAACAUUUCCCCAAAGCCUGAAUUCAAUCCCAGAACCCACAUAAAACCAAUUCUACAAAGUUAUUGUUCAAUCUCCACAUGUGCACCCCUAUACACAGAUUGUACAUAUAUUAAUUCACACACGAUAAACACGGGUUUUGUUUGUUUGUUUGUUUGUUUGUUUGUUUUUCGAGACAGGGUUUCUCUGUGUAGCCUUGGCUGUCCUAGAACUCACUUUGUAGACCAGGCUGGCCUCGAACUCAGAGAUCCACCUGCCUCUGCCUCCCAAGUGCUGGGAUUAAAGGCGUGCGCCACCAUGCCCAGCCCGAUAAACACGUUUUUAAAGUAAAAUAUUUUCUUGGAGUUGGAGAAAUGGCUCCAUGGUUAAAAGCACAGGCUGCUCUUUCAGAGGACCUGGGUUCAAUUCCCAGCACCCACAUAAUGCUCAUAAAUGUCUGUAACCCCACCUCUAGGGGAUUUAACACCCCCCCCCCACUGAUAUACAUCAAAACACCAAAGCACAUAAAAUAAAUAUAUUUUUUAAAUAAAAAAUUUUCUUAAAAAUAAAAAAACCUUUAAGAUCAC